GCCGAGAUAGCGUAGUUGGUAGAGCAGAGAACUAAAAAUCCUUGUGCCAACGGUUCAAAUCUGGUUCUUGGUA
rnacentral:tRNA from 1 species